GGGAGCCAAUUUUCCUUUGAUCCCAAACCGUUGUACACCCUUAGUCGGUGAGACUCGGAGGUAUACAUGAUCACCAAUGUCAAACUGUAAGGGCCUUCUCCUUUUGUCAAAAUAGCUUUUCUGUCAUGAUUGGGCGGCUUUAAGAUUUGCCUGAAUUAUUUUAACUUGCUCUUCGGCUUCAACUACUAGAUCAGGCCUGUAGGUUUGUCUUUCUCCUGCUUGUGACCAA
rnacentral:lncRNA from 1 species